rnacentral:rRNA from 1 species
AGAACAACAGGGAUUGCCUCAGUAACGGCGAGUGAAGCGGCAACAGCUCAAAUUUGAAAUCUGACCCUUUCAGGGUCCGAGUUGUAAUUUGUAGAGGAUGCUUCGGCGUGGGCCCCGGUCUAAGUUCCUUGGAACAGGACGUCACAGAGGGUGAGAAUCCCGUACGUGGCCGGCGGUGCUCGCCAUGUGAAGCUCCUUCGACGAGUCGAGUUGUUUGGGAAUGCAGCUCUAAAUGGGAGGUAAAUUUCUUCUAAAGCUAAAUACCGGCCAGAGACCGAUAGCGCACAAGUAGAGUGAUCGAAAGAUGAAAAGCACUUUGGAAAGAGAGUCAAAAAGUACGUGAAAUUGUUGAAAGGGAAGCGCUUGCAACCAGACCUGACCGUAGUUGCUCAUCCGGGCUCCUGCCCGGUGCACUCCUCUGCGUUCAGGCCAGCAUCAGUUCUGGCGGUCGGAUAAAGGCGGUGGGAAUGUAGCUCCUCUCGGGGAGUGUUAUAGCCCGCCGUGCCAUGCGGCCAGCCGGGACUGAGGUCCGCGCUUCGGCUAGGAUGCUGGCGUAAUGGUUGUAAGCGGCCCGUCUUGAAACACGGACCAAGGAGUCUAACAUCUGUGCGAGUGUUUGGGUGUCAAGCCCGGGCGCGUAAUGAAAGUGAACGGAGGCGGGAACCCUUGGGUGCACCGUCGACCGAUCCUGAUGUCUUCGGAUGGAUUUGAGUAAGAGCAUAGCUGUUGGGACCCGAAAGAUGGUGAACUAUGCCUGAAUAGGGUGAAGCCAGAGGAAACUCUGGUGGAGGCUCGCAGCGGUUCUGACGUGCAAAUCGAUCGUCAAAUUUGGGCAUAGGGGCGAAAGACUAAUCGAACUAUCUAGUAGCUGGUUCCUGCCGAGCUCCCCCCCCGAGAAUAU